CCUACGGGAGGCAGCAGUGAGGAAUAUUGGUCAAUGGGCGCGAGCCUGAACCAGCCAAGCCGCGUGAAGGAAGAAGGUGCCAAGCAUCGUAAACUUCUUUUGUCAGGGAACAAAAUCAGGCUCGAGAGCCUGACCGAGUGUACUUGAAGAAAAAGCAUCGGCUAACUCCGUGCCAGCAGCCGCGGUAAUACGGAGGAUGCGAGCGUUAUCCGGGUUUAGUGGGUUUAAAGGGUGCGCAGGCGGACUGGUAAGUCAGCGGUAAAAGCCCGGGGCUCAACCCCGGCCAGCCGUUGAAACUGGCAGUCUGGAGUUGGCGAGAGGUAGGCGGAAUGCGCAGUGUAGCGGUGAAAUGCUUAGAUAUUGCGCAGAACUCCGAUUGCGAAGGCAGCAUACCGGAGGCGAUCUGACGCUGAGGCACGAAAGCGUGGGUAUCGAACAGGAUUAGAUACCCCUGUAGUC
rnacentral:rRNA from 1 species